rnacentral:lncRNA from 1 species
CCUUGGACUCUUCAUGGAGAUAUUUUCAGAGCCUAUUUCAUAGGUAUUCGAAAUUUGGUCAAACAUUCCUCAUUUCAAUAUUAAUAAUUCAAAAAUCAUUAUCAAAUUAUUAUAGGAUGUAUCAUUAAGGGGGAGGAUCACAAACAAAUUCACUCUAAGUUUAUCAAAAAAAAAAAUCAUGUUGAUUAGGGUGAUUAAACAAAAAUUGGGAGAAGAUAGAAUUCAGUCUGAAAUUUUUCAGUGCCGGAGACGUCUCUGGCAAAUCGCAGAGACGUCCCCCCAGGGGAGACGUCUCGCCUUAGUCGCGGAGACGUCUCGGAGACCGAAUGAGGGCUUUUUAAAUAGGUCGAAAUCGCUCGAGCCGACCCGAGCUUCCUCCUUCAUCCCCAACCAAAACGAAAAACCCUAGCCUCCAUUUGCUCUCCACCUCAAACCCUAGCCUCCGUUUGCUCUACAUCACAAACCCUAGCAUCCAUGGCACCAAAGAAGGCUAGGACGACC